AGAGUUUGAUCCUGGCUCAGCGCGAACGCUGGCGGCGCGCCUAACACAUGCAAGUCGUGCGGGGUGGCUUCUGCCACCCAGCGGCAAACGGGUGAGUAACACGUGAGUAACCCACCCUCAGGAAGGGGAUAACCCCCCGAAAGGGGGGCUAAUACCCUAUAAUGCCGGGGGCCACGAAGGCUACUCGGCCAAAGGGUGGCCUCUGCAGGGUGGCCUCUGCUCUGCAAGCUACCGCCUGAGGAGGGGCUCGCGGCCCAUCAGGUAGUUGGUGGGGUAACGGCCUACCAAGCCUAUGACGGGUAGCCGGCCUGAGAGGGUGGCCGGCCACAGUGGGACUGAGACACGGCCCACGCCCCUACGGGGGGCAGCAGUGGGGAAUCGUGGGCAAUGGGCGAAAGCCUGACCCCGCGACGCCGCGUGGAGGAAGAAGCCCUUCGGGGUGUAAACUCCUGUCGGGGGGGAAGAUGCUCACAGAGGUGAAUAAUCUCUGUGGGUGACGGUACCCCCAGAGGAAGGGACGGCUAACUACGUGCCAGCAGCCGCGGUAAUACGUAGGUCCCGAGCGUUGCGCGGAUUUACUGGGCGUAAAGCGUCCGCAGCCGGAUGGGUAAGCGGUAUGUCAAAGCCCACCGCUCAACGGUGGAAAGGCAUACCGAACUGCCCAUCUUGAGGCACGCCCAGGUAGGCGGAAUCCCCGGUGUAGCGGUGAAAUGCGUAGAUAUCGGGAGGAACACCGGUGGCGAAGGCGGCCUACUGGGGGCUGUCCUGACGGUCAGGGACGAAAGCUGGGGGAGCGAACCGGAUUAGAUACCCUGGUAGUCAAGGGCG
rnacentral:rRNA from 1 species